UACGUAGGGUCCGAGCGUUGUCCGGAGUUACUGGGCGUAAAGCGCGCGCAGGCGGCGGUGUUGGCCCGGCGUGAAAGCCCCCCGGCUCAACCGGGGGAGGGUCGUCGGGGACCGCACCGCUUGAGGGCGGUAGGGGCUGGUGGAAUGCCUGGUGUAGUGGUGAAAUGCGUAGAGAUCAGGCGGAACACCCGUGGCGAAGGCGGCCAGCUGGGCCGUCCCUGACGCUGAGGCGCGAAGGCGUGGGGAGCGAACGGG
rnacentral:rRNA from 1 species